AAAAAAAUUAUGCUUACGAAAAGGUUGGAUGAGUCCAUUCUGGACGGCCUGCAGUGUAGCAGGAUAUUUCUUGUCCUUAAUUACUCUGUCCUCUGGUAGGAACAGAAAAUACAGUUAAUCCAUUACAUUCUGUCCUCAGAGCAGAAACUCCCCUUGAUUAUUUCAACUUUUAAAAUACUCAUUGUGUUUGAAUGAAUGUGGGAUUGACCAGCAGCCUCUUUUAGUGGACUUUCUUUACAAAACCCAAUGACUCUACCUGUCUGUUUGCUAAGAAUGUGAACUUCUCAUCUCAUAGGGAAUGCAAGACUCACUCUCCAGCAAACCUAGAAAACUUAGAUAUCCUUGCUUCUCAUCUAAUGAGACAGAUAUAUUCUUCUGUCCAGAAGGGAGGUGUGACAUGGAUUCCAUGCCACUGGGCAACUGUUCAACUGUCCUGAAGAAAUGGUGGGUGUUGUCUCCAUGUUUUCUGUGAAGGACACUCUCUCAGCCUAAUGCCUCCUCAGUGACCUCUAACUUUGAUCUCUGAACUGGGUCCUCCCAGGACCCAGAGGGAAGAUCAAUCACUCAGGAUGUUCCAGGCCACCAGGUCAAGUGGCAGAAGUUCAUCCUCUGGGAUUCUUUGUCUUCAGGACCUCUGUAACAUCGAUUGUCAGCUUGACAAGCCAGCCAAGUCUUUGUGUACAAUCCAUAGACAGAACUGGGAAGAGCAAACCAUGAGAGGCCAGCACUAAACCCUCAGGGUAGCUAAAGAGGAAGCAUGGUAAUACGUCAUUCUGCAACAGAAAAAACAAAUAAUCUGCUCUGCAUGUAUCCAGCAUCAUGUGAACAUGAACCAGAUGAGUAACAUCUGGGCCUCUGUUUGCCCAUCUGUAAAAGGGCUGGUUGCCCCUUCUUGCAAUGGACAAGGCUGCAUCCGCAGAGUUCUAGUCUUGUGUCUUGUGUCCUUGCCACAUCCUCCUCUGGGAGCACACAGCAAAAGCUCAGUUAUUGUUAGCCCCCUUCUCUCAACCUCCCCAGUCAUUGCACACUCAUAGAGAAAGGACAAUCCGAUCUUUAUGUGACCAUGAUAAAAUUUGAUGAGAGAUCAGCAAAACAUAAAGGAAGGUUCUUAAAUGACAUAUUUAUCCCAACAUUGUUCUGGGAAGAAAAGUAUCCAUUGUAAAAACUAAACAUGUCCAAUUAAAUGAUAAAUGCAG